rnacentral:rRNA from 1 species
GACAGAGGGUGCAAACGUUGUUCGGAAUUACUGGGCGUAAAGCGCAUGUAGGCGGCCUGUCAGGUCGGAUGUGAAAUCCCUCGGCUCAACCAAGGAAGUGCAUUCGAAACCGCUAGGCUCGAGUCCCGGAGAGGAAGGUGGAAUUCUCGGUGUAGAGGUGAAAUUCGUAGAUAUCGAGAGGAACACCGGUGGCGAAAGCGGCCUUCUGGACGAGGACUGACGCUGAGAUGCGAAAGCGUGGGGAGCAAACAGG